rnacentral:rRNA from 1 species
UACGGGGGGAGCAAGCGUUGUCCGGAAUCACUGGGCGUAAAGGGCGCGUAGGCGGCCUGAUAAGUAGGGGGUGAAAUCCUGUGGCUUAACUGCAGGGCUGCCUCCUAGACUGUUAGGCUCGAGCACGGUAGAGGCAGAUGGAAUUCCCGGUGUAGCGGUGGAAUGCGUAGAGAUCGGGAAGAACAUCGGUGGCGAAGGCGGUCUGCUGGGCCGUUGCUGACGCUGAGGCGCGACAGCGUGGGGAGCAAACAGG